rnacentral:rRNA from 1 species
UGGGGAAUAUUGCGCAAUGGAGGAAACUCUGACGCAGCAACGCCGCGUGUGUGAAGAAGGCCCUAUGGGUUGUAAAGCACUGUUGAGGUGGGAAGAGCAGGCGGAAGUUAAUACCUUUCGCUCCGACGGUACCAUCUGAGGAAGCACCGGCCAACUCUGUGCCAGCAGCCGCGGUAAUACAGAGGGUGCAAGCGUUGUUCGGAAUUAUUGGGCGUAAAGCGUGCGUAGGCGGACAACUAAGUCUGAUGUGAAAUCCCUUGGCUUAACUGAGGAGCUGCAUUGGAUACUGGUUGUCUUGAGUCUUGGAGAGGAUAGCGGAAUUCCCAGUGUAGAGGUGAAAUUCGUAGAUAUUGGGAGGAACACCAGUGGCGCAAGCGGCUAUCUGGACAAUGACUGACGC